AAUAUAAAAAUUUCGUUCUCUUCUGUUUUCUAGCUGAGCCAUCACAGGCUAUUAUGGCUGUGCACAAUCUCGCCAUUUGGCUCUUGCACUUGUUAUUCGCCACACGAGGGUAGUUACAACAGUUCCCAUUGUGUUGCAGCCCUCACACAUUAAUUUAUUAACAAUAAUUUCACGCUCUGUUUAUACUGUCCAGUUUUCUGCUUUUGUAUAAUA